UACCUGCAGACCAAGUGGUGACUGUUAUUAUUGGGCCUAAAACGUCCGUAGCCGGUCCUGUAAAUGCCUGGGUAAAUUGUAUAGCUUAACUAUACGACUUCCGGGUAGACUGCAGGACUUGAGAUCGGGAGAGGAUAGAGGUACUCCUGGGGUAGAGGUGAAAUUCUGUAAUCCUAGGGGGACCACCAGUGGCGAAGGCGUCUAUCUAGAACGAGUCUGACGGUCAGGGACGAAGCCCUGGGGCGCAAACGGG
rnacentral:rRNA from 1 species